UACCUCUGGUCAUCAUUUUGGAUUUGGA
rnacentral:sRNA from 1 species